GAUGAACGCUGGCGGCGUGCCUAAUACAUGCAAGUCGAGCGAACAGACGAGGAGCUUGCUCCUCUGACGUUAGCGGCGGACGGGUGAGUAACACGUGGAUAACCUACCUAUAAGACUGGGAUAACUUCGGGAAACCGGAGCUAAUACCGGAUAAUAUAUUGAACCGCAUGGUUCAAUAGUGAAAGACGGUUUUGCUGUCACUUAUAGAUGGAUCCGCGCCGCAUUAGCUAGUUGGUAAGGUAACGGCUUACCAAGGCGACGAUGCGUAGCCGACCUGAGAGGGUGAUCGGCCACACUGGAACGGAGACACGGUCCAGACUCCUACGGGAGGCAGCAGUAGGGAAUCUUCCGCAAAGGGCGAAAGCUUGACGGAGCAACGCCGCGUGAGUGAUGAAGGUCUUCGGAUCGUAAAACUCUGUUAUUAGGGAAGAACAAAUGUGUAAGUAACUAUGCACGUCUUGACGGUACCUAAUCAGAAAGCCACGGCUAACUACGUG
rnacentral:rRNA from 1 species